rnacentral:rRNA from 1 species
CGUUCAGGGGUAAACCUAAGAAACCCAAAAGAUCGAACGGGGAGAUUCAUCGUCAGCGGCGUUGGCUUCGCGUCGGUGGGCGAUGUCCCGCGGUUUCUCGCGCGGGCACGCUACCGUGCGCGCAUGACCGGCGUCGUCGUCGUGCACUUCUCCCCUAGUAGAACGUCGCGACCCGCUGGGUGUCGGUCUACGGCCCGGGUGAGGUGACUGUCGCGUCGCCGGUAAAACGGCACGCGGCAAACCCUCGGACGCCCGGCCGGCUGCCCGGCGGUACUCGCACGGUAUCAGGCCGCAGUUUAUCUGCGUCAAGCCCGUCGCAAGCGCGCGCCACGGUUACUCGGAGGUACGGACCUAGCGCCGUCCCCGGUCCUGGUCCGCUGUUGGCCGACGGUGACCCUUUGACAGGCCUUACGGGGCGACGUGGGGGGCGUUAGCCGUUCCACGCUCGCCCUGAUACCGGUCGGCGACGCUACUGCUUUGGGUACUCUUAGGACCCGUCUUGAAACACGGACCAAGGAGUCUAACAUGUGCGCGAGUCAUUGGGACUAGCAAAACCCAAAGGCGCAAUGAAAGUGAAGGUCGGCCUUGGCGCCGACCGAGGGAGGAUGGGCCGCGUCGCGAUGCGGCCUCGCACUCCCGGGGCGUCUCGUUCUCAUCGCGAGAAGAGGCGCACCAAGAGCGUACACGUUGGGACCCGAAAGAUGGUGAACUAUGCCUGGUCAGGACGAAGUCAGGGGAAACCCUGAUGGAGGUCCGUAGCGAUUCUGACGUGCAAAUCGAUCGUCGGAACUGGGUAUAGGGGCGAAAGACUAAUCGAACCAUC